rnacentral:tRNA from 1 species
CGAGCAAGCCGCUAUGGUGAAAUCGGUAGACACGCUGCUCUUAGGAAACAGUGCUAGAGCAUCUCGGUUCGAGUCCGAGUGGCGGCAUGCCAUCUUCU